GUCGGCUACGGUGAUAUUUACCCUACCACUCCUCUAGGGAAACUAGUUGGUAGCAUCUGCUGCGUCUGCGGUGUACUGGUCAUUGCUCUGCCCAUUCCAAUCAUUGUCAACAAU
rfam:Stegodyphus mimosarum contig172, whole genome shotgun sequence.